rnacentral:rRNA from 1 species
GACGAACGCUGGCGGCGUGCUUAACACAUGCAAGUCGAACGGAAAGGCCCUGCUUUUGUGGGGUGCUCGAGUGGCGAACGGGUGAGUAACACGUGAGUAACCUGCCCUUGACUUUGGGAUAACUUCAGGAAACUGGGGCUAAUACCGGAUAGGAGCUCCUGCUGCAUGGUGGGGGUUGGAAAGUUUCGGCGGUUGGGGAUGGACUCGCGGCUUAUCAGCUUGUUGGUGGGGUAGUGGCUUACCAAGGCUUUGACGGGUAGCCGGCCUGAGAGGGUGACCGGCCACAUUGGGACUGAGAUACGGCCCAGACGCCUACGGGAGGCGGCAGUGGGGAAUAUUGCACAAUGGGCGGAAGCCUGAUGCAGCAACGCCGCGUGCGGGAUGACGGCCUUCGGGUUGUAAACCGCUUUCGCCUGUGACGAAGCGUGAGUGACGGUAAUGGGUAAAGAAGCACCGGCUAACUACGUG